UGUCCCCUCAAAAUUCACAUGUUGAAGUUCUAAACCCAAUGUGGUAGUAUUUGGAGACGGGCCUUGGAGAGGUAUUUAGGUUUAGAUGAGGUCAUAAGGGUGGUGUCCCCAUGAUGGGAUUAGACAUCACAAAGCUCGCCUUCCUCUCUCUGUCCCUGCCACAUGAGGACAAAGAGAAAGUGGUCACCCUUAAGCCAGGAAGAUAGUUCUCAUCAGAACUCAAUCAUUCCAACACAAUGAUCUUGGACUUCGCCUACGGAACUAGGAAAAGCCAUUUGAGGACAAAGCCAUCUAUAAACAAGGAAGAGAGCCCUUAUCAGGAACCUAAAUGACCAGCACUUUGAUCUGGGACUUCCAGCCUCCAGAACAGUGAGAAAAUAGACUUUUGUUGUUGAAGCCCCCCAGUCUGUGGUAUUUCGCUCUGGCACCUGAGCAGACUACUGCAAAGAGGAAUCAUCGCAUUAAAAAGAAAAAUGUAUAUAAUCUUUGGAAAGCACCAGAGAAUUUCAGGGGUUGAAGACCUUAUUUACCCAUCUCUCUCUCUCUCUCUCUCUCUCUCUCUCUCUCUCUCUCUCUCUCACACACACACACACACACACACACACACACACACACACACACCCUGGCUCCCCACAGCAUGGCCAGGGCUCACCCAGCCAACCCCAGACUCCAACUUGGCAUCGCAGAGCAGUCUCACCAGAGAGAGCCUUAGGUGUGCCAAUUUCCACUCCUCCUCCAUUUCCCACAGGCCUUGCAAGCACCUCGCCUCAGAAAGGGAAUUACUUGCCAACAAAGACCUACGUGGGACUUGGGGGCACUGCCCCGGGGCACUUCAUUACAGGGAGCUCCCACAGCCACAGCCUGCAGGAGCUGACACACAGAAAGAAGCUCAUUCAUAACAAGCAGCAAGCCUUUGUCAAGUUACCAUUUCACGUGUGCCAAGCAGUUAAACUCCCUGGGAGGCGCCCCCUCCUAGAAGGGGAUAAAACUAGUUCUGCCAGGGAGAACCAUCCACCCAAAGCAUCUGUGGUCAUUUAGCCCCACUGCAGUCGACCCCAGUGGUGCAGCAUGAACAGCAAUCAGAGCUCCACAAGUAGCCAGAGGACCUUGGGAAUGUAACAUGGUCAAAAGAGAAUCUAAUUGGAUCCAUGCUCAAAAAUGAAGGUUCAAAUAUUUACAUUGAAGUACUAUUUGUAACGGCAUUCACAAAUGUCCAACAACAGGGGUUAGAUGAAUAAAUCAUAACAUAGUCAUUCAA